CUCGUCUGAAACACUCAAAAUGACGCCGAAACUCGCGUGGCUGAAGCGCCAAUGGCUCCGCUUCCUUCGCUGAACUCGGGCUGCGACAGACAGCGGAACGCGGGAGGCCGUAUUUUCCUCGACUGCAUGUGGGACGUGCGAGAGAAAAAGCAGCGCGGUCCCAGUGGGCAUUUUCCGUCGGAAUUUUCUCGGGUCCACCGCAGUUUGGAAGACGUACGGCACAAAACGGUCUGCCUACCUGCGUUUAACGGUGGGGGAUACAGCCCUCGUUCUGCCGACGUCCGUGGACCCGGGAGAGAGGAUGUGGCGCCGCACAACGCAGAAACGUGUGUGGAGUCUCAGGACAGUGCGAAUCAAAAUGUCGAAUCUGAUCUGAUCGGGUCUACUGACACCCGUGCAUGCGCAGGUUUCUGCGUGCGGACUCUGCAGUACCGAGUGUGGCCCGUUUCCCGGAGUGCCGAGUGUCUUUUCCGGUUUUCACCUCUGGGAGGAUCUGCCCGUUCUCUAGUGUGUGUAUGUGGUGAUGCUUGAAGGCGAACACAGAGCAGGACUCAGGUGCAGCCGUGGGUUAGUAACGCAG
rnacentral:lncRNA from 1 species